CCUUGUCCUCAUGAAACCUUUUCAAGAAAAACAACUAACUGCGCAUGCUCCACAAAUUUAAGAUAACACAGACAUGAAUAUUUAAUUGUGGCAAAAGAAGACUGGUCUAUUUCAAUGAGGACAGGCAAGACCCCACCUACAGAGACUAUGCUGUGGAGAUAGGUAUAUAAAGACAUGUUUGUGUAUGCAUAAUUCGGACACUCUGCAGACUGUCACACUUUAUUGAUUUUCAAUAAAGUUUAUUUACUUUUUGACAUCUACUAAACUCUCUGUCUACAAAGUUUUUGACCUAGGCUAAAAGGUUGAUUUUAUUCACGACAAUACCUUCUUUUUUCACAGCCUUCUUUGCUAAUAUUUACCAAGGGUGCCAAUAUUAGUGGAGGGUGCUGUAAAUAUAUUUGUAUAGGUCAUGUAAUUAAGUACAGUAUCGAGGUACUUCUUUGAGGUAGGACUACUAGUUUAGAGUAUUUCCAUUCCAAGAACAUUUCAGACAGUAUAACAUCUGAAAAUUAGCUCCACCUUUACAAUCUGCAAUUUUAAAAGGAUUUUUUAAAAUGAAUACAUCCACAAUUAAAAUUCAGUAAUUUAAUUACUGAAUUGUGCAUAACGCAUAUUUAUACUUUUGGUACUAAGCAUGUUUUGUUGCUUAUACUUUUUUAUUUUUACUUAAGUUCAAAUUUAAAUGCAUGACUUGUAACAGUAUUAAUUCAAUGUUGUACUCUUGUAGUUAAAAUAUCAGACUACUUUUUGCACUACUGAUAUACAUACAAUCGAAUUUAGGUUUUACUUAGGUUUUAAGUUAACUGCAUUAAUAAACGUCAACCUUCCUUUAUUUCAAACACUCUAAGCCUGUGAGUCAGAGUUGAGAAUUGGAGAAUAUUGUGAUGCACAUUUAGCUGCCUUCAGUGAGGCCUUAAUUGGUAGCCACGCCCUCCCCCUCCCCUACACCUGCAACUGCGCUGCACGUGCAUCUUGACCUAAAAUGGAUGACUUGAGCAGUGGCCUGGAGAUGUUCAGGAGAAGCCCGGAGUGGUUGAGAUUUCAUCAUAAUCGAUGCGAAAGCUGAUUUUCAAAAACCUUUACAGUGCAGGAAACGAUGGAAGAAAGUUCAACAGAGCUGGAUGAUAUUCAUGAGGAACCAGAGAGUGAUUCCUUGGAAUCUGAAGUAUCCAGCUGCGCAGUACUAGACCCAGAUUACAAUCCGGAACACAGAACGUCAUCAUCCAGUGAUGUGGAAGAUUUGAGCCCAAACAAAGGUUCAUCGCUUAAGAAACAGUCCAGUAAAGAAUAUCUUGAAGGUCCAGACACAAAUUUGAGUAAUGAUGAUCAGUAAAGAGGGAAGUGCACCAUUUAUUAAAAAAAAAAAACAACUUAGAACUUAUCUGAAAAGGCACAAACAACUCGAGAUAAACAAAACAAAUAAAGGCAAAUCAACUGUGACCCUAAAAAUUUGUACAAAAAGGGAAGACCAUAAAUGAGCACUGGACAAAAGACUUUAUUGCCUCUACUGUGGCAAAUCGCAGUUAAAGAUCUCGAGGCAUUUGGGGAGAAAGCAUAUCGAGGUCAAAGAUGUGGCAUAUGCCUUCAGCUUUCCAUUAAGAUCAAAAGAAAGAAAGGUUCUUCUGGAACUGCUACGCAAUAAAGGAGACUUUAAACACAAUUCCAAAGUUCUGGAAAAAAAGUAGAGGACAUGGUGACCUGGAAGCAGCCGUCUGAUAAAGCUUCUCUUAAGGACUAUUUGCCUUGCCCAUAUUGUUUUAGAAUGUUCAGGAAAAAUGACCUGUGGAGACAUCAGUCCUCGUGCAAAACUAAGAAGUCAUGUGUGACUGAUGAAAAAAUAAAAACUAGAUGAGGGAGAGUACAAAGUUGUGCUGCAUGCCUGCUUCCUAUAGCAGCUUCCUCAGACGGACGUCAGAGCAUCAUCAACAUGAGACAAGAUGAUGUGUCCUUUCACGUCAGGAGUGAUUCUUUGAUUUGCAAAUACAGAGAAUCACUUUACGCAAAACACGUUCGUGUGAAGUCUAAGCACCAGUACGUUGCAUAAAGAAUGAGGGAGUACUUUCCCAAAUGAAAAGCUUACAGCACCUAGUAUUCCCAUUCAGUCUCCCAACCAAGUUCUAACCAGGCCCAACUUUGCUUUCGAGGUCAGAUGAGAGGGUUGGGUUUU